CUUACGGAGCGCGCUCUGAAAUAAGCGCUCAUAUUGUCAUAUUCCAACGGAUCGAGUUAGCUCAUCACACCGGCUCAGCUCGAAGAAAAUGUGCAGCUAUUUGUAAUUGAUGUUAUUCCUCUGUAGGGUUUAUUGAGGAUGUCUGUUUCUGGCUCAUGAACCCCGAGUUCUCUAGCAUGUUGGCCUCCAUGGAGUAGCUAGCUAACGUUAGCCAUCUUAAUUAACAUGAAGAUGUCAACAAGUGCUGUCAGGACGCAUACCAUCACUGUUGCUGUAUGCAGCCCGUUGCUGGUUGCUCAAGGGCAGAUGGAGAACGAAGAAUAGAUUGAUCCGUAUAGAACUACGAUCCAAUCAUAAAGUCCAUGAGAAAGCCUGACGAGUGUAUGAAACAAAAUCAUGAAGUGUGAAAAUACACCAAGCAUGACGAAUACUGCCUUUUAUCGUGAUAUUAAUCUAAUCGGAAAACUAAAGGAAAGUCAUCUUCACCGGCAAGUAAUUACCCUAAUGUACCCACCAAGAGGAGGGAAUACAUGCAGGGCUCAGAUCAAGUGGACGUAACCGAGUGCAACAACAAAGUCGAAGGGUUACAAAGAGAGGUGUCUGUGGUUGUCUUAAUCAUAGUGGUCAUCAUCUGCAACAAGCUGUGGUCUACAGUCUCCUUGUUUGUCCAGUUCAAGCAAAUCUUUGCCAUUGGUUUCUCAUCAGUCUGGUCUGGAAUUGGUUCUAUCUCUACAAGGCUAUCACUAUGGCCAUCACCACCUUCUUCAUAGAGCCUCUGAAGCACUUUGGCCAGGGGAUCAGCCAGUUCCUACAAGCCCUCCUCAAGGACAUUAGUGUUUAAAGGCACAGUCAACUUAUCUCGGCAAGCAGUGGCGGAGAUCCAGAAGGUUCUGGAGGGAAUGGACAGCUGGAGAACGGGGACUCUGAACGAUGUCCUCAGCCAGAUCCUGGUGAAUCUCAAACCACAUGACUACAAGGCCUGGAGAUGGCAAUUUGAGGACACCUUUGGUGUGGAGAUCGACACAUCCAUGACGUUUAGAAUGCGUAGUUUAUGUGGUUUGCCUAAGCAAUUUACUGUGGAAAUUUGCAGAGUCACCUUGCGGUCACCAGUCACCUUGCAGAUCCCUGUGCUCCUCACCAUCGUGCUCUCCAUCCUGGUCUUUGUGUACAGCAGCGCCCAGGCUGCCAUCCUGCACGGCAUAUCCAGACACCCUGAGGAACGCCGACAGGCGGUACAGCAAGGACGAGAUCAUCUCGGAGAGGUGGGAGCGUUUCCCCGACGGUGUGCGGCCGGAGGGUUGCUCCAACGCAAAGCAUAUCGACCCUCUAAUGGUAGAGGACCGACAUCCAGGAAGAGGUACUGCAAGAACCAGUUGUAGCUGGAGCCACAACUGAAGGCAAUGACUCACAAGAAGCUUAAUCCUCUCCAGCUAAAGGCAAAUCAAAUAUAGGGGGACGUUGCAUCUGAAUCUAAGGGGGAAGCUGACAGCCAGGCUGUCCAAAAGCUGAGUUCCCUCCCCCCCUCCUAAAACUAGGUGCCUACCACUAUAUAUAUAUAUAUAUAUAUAUAUUAUAUAUGGGCCAAAAUGGUGACUGAAAAUGGUGUUGUAUGAUGCAAGGAACCACUUUGCAAAAUAAAAAUCAUUAUCAUUUAUUAGGCCUAUUAUUACCAUAUAGAGAAUAAGGCUUUGCCUGUCUUAAAAUACAACACUCUCCCUUUUAGGAUGGUUGGCACCUUUUUUAGCCUAUCAAAUAUAGCAGAAUUAAACAAUCAACAGCCUGACCAACUCUAUACAAAGGAGAUGUGUUGUACUGCAUGAGGCAAAUGGUGGCCACACGAGAAACUGACUGGUUUUCUGAUCCAUGCACCUGCGUUUAUUUAACUUUUUUUUUAAGGUGACCAACAAAUGCAUAUCUGUAUUCCCAGUCAUGUGAAAUCAAUAGAUUAGGGCUUAAUGAAUUAAUUUCAAUUGACUGAUUUCCUUAUAUGAACUGUAACUCAGUAAAAUCUUUUGAAAUUGUAGCAUGUACCAAACUCGGUGAAGUCUUCCAAUACAAUAGUCCACAUGACUGGCUGCGUUUUGCUACCACCGGAAACUUCAAGAAGAUUGCCCAUUAUUUAGUUUUUCUAAGUAAAUAUAUUUGAAAGUGAUCAAAAAUAAUGUAUUAUUAGCUAGCUUGCUACAGAAACGUAGCAGCUCAUUUGAUUUAGCCUGCACACUAAGAUAAUAUUCGCUAGUUAGCUAACUUUACAUACUGUAUACCUAGCUACGUAAAUUAAAUGUAAUCAGCUUGCUAUAUUCACAGUAGCUAGUUACAAUGAUUAAUGCAUUAAGAUAGCUAACUCCAAAUGUAGCUAGAUAGGUAGCAAGCUCAACAGCCAUGAGAAGGGAGAGUAAGCUACUCUGGAUAGGGCAGGUACCUUUGCGGGAGGACAUGAAACUAUUCUCCAUUUCAAUCCCUGUCCUUAGCAAUAAAAACGGAAGACAGACCUGAAUAUUAUGUUGCUAUAUCUCUCUAUCUAACUUAAGUAUAAUGCAGCCUGUUACUUUGUUUUCUGUCCUCAGAUACAGAGGUCUGUCAAACCCUGUCUGCAGAAUGAGGUACCAAUGAAUGUCCCAAAAGAGUAAGGGUACAUUCUUGUAUGCCAUGGAUUAUAUGUGUACCUAGCAUAUUUUGUGAACAAAAAUCACACACAAAGUCACACACAAUGUAUAUAAACCUAUUACAACUGGAGCAGGCCAACCCUGAUGGGUGUGCACACUUCUGUUCCAGCCCAGCAUUAACACACCUGAUUCAAUGUAUCAAACCUAAUUAGUUAAUAAUCAAGUGUGCUAUUUCUGGGCUGGAACAGAAGUCGUAUCACCCAGUGGAUCAUAGGAGUUACUUUUUUUGUUCACCUGAAAUGAUGUUUUAUUAAUAAUAGCCUACUUGUUACUAAAAUGUCUAGCCUCUACAUAUGAGUUAGCUUACUUGUACACUUUGAAAUUAUGAGUUUUGAUGCUUUGACAGUGUUUUAAACUUGUUGUAAUUAACUGAACUAUUAUUCAAGAUGAACUAGUGUUGAUAUUGGUUUAUCACAGAUCACAACCCUGCAAUAAAAAGGGGAGUGUGUCUUCACUUGAAUGUUUCUGUGUUCUCAAAUGAACAUCACCUUUUUCUUUCCAAUUCGUUUUAUUUGUUUGUCACCAUUUUGUUUUCAGGAUAUCAGCCAUAUGUACCCAUUUUGCAGCUGAUAAUGGAAUCCAACGCAAAUGCAGCCAUAGGCCUACAGCAGUGGUUCCCAAUUCCAGUUCUCGAAUACCCCCAACAGCACACAUUUUUGUUGUAGCCCCAUACAAACAUAGCUGACUCAACUCAUUGAGGGCCUGAUGAUUAGUUGACAUGUUGAAUCUGGUGUGUUUGUCUGGGGCUACAAUAAAAAUGUACUCUUGGGGGAACUCGAGGACCGGGGUUGGGAACCACUGGCCUACAGCAUUAGCCUUAUGGGCAUUUGCAAUUCACCCUUUGACAUUGUGCAGCUGAAGCUUAACUCACACACUGUUUACAUAUUGUUCAGCUAUAUAUUCAGAAUUUAAAAAUUAUACCAGUAGACAAUGUAUAUGAGGCUAAUCAUUAAACUAGAUUUUGUACAUGCCUUGUGCUGACAUUUGUUUUGGUGCAAAUCCAACCCUUGUAAUCUAGGUGGAAGCAGGAAAUGAGUUCCUUAUUGUACACACACACCAAGUCCAGAAGGUCUAAGUGGCACUCUGUUAUAAUGAAUAUGUUUUUUUUACCUUUAUUUAACUAGGCAAGUCAGUUAAGAACAAAUACUUAUGUUCAAUGAUGGCCUAGGAACAGUGGGUUAACUGGGGGGCAGGGGCAGAAUGAC
ensembl:lncRNA